AAAAAACCUCAGCUGAUGCGUGGAGCAGAGUCUGGUGUGAGGUGGUUGCAGCCUGCUUCUUGGGGACCUGGGCUGCCUGGGGAGCUGUGCUAGAAAGGGGCUCUCUCUGCUUUGCCGUUUGCAUUUAAUCCCAGGGAUUCCAUUUGCAUCUAAUCUCGGCAGCUGGAGGUCGGAGGAGGAAGGUUUGGUGCAGAACUGAGCAUCACCACCCGUUUUCUAUCUGUACAGAGCUUUUGUCUGCUUGAAUGUGCCUUUGCAUGCGAUAGGGGUUAUUUUUCCCAGCUGAUAAAACGUAUUUGGUGUCGCUAAAAGGCCGAAUAAUCAGAUUGUGGGAGUGCUCAGCCAGGGCACAGAGGGUGGUCAGUGGGGCGAGCCGCCCUCGGCGGGCAAUCCCUGGGGAAUGAUGCUGCGUGUGAGGCUGCGCUUCUUUGGGAUGCGGGAUUUCCUCGGCUUCCCCAGCGCGGAUCCGCGGGGAUCCAUCCUCCCCCCGAGGCCGUGGGCGGACACGUGCGUGGGGCUGGGUGUUUUCUGGACGCCCCAAAAUCUCUUCCUGCAUCUGUGCCUGUGCAUCUGAAGGCAUCUCCGCCAGGAUCCCCACACGCAAACAGAGGAUCAAGACGUGGAGAGAGUGCUAACAUGAAUUCCUACUGUGGGAAAACAUGCUGCACUUUGAUUAUUUUUUCUGUGGUUUCCAGGCUGUUUGGGCUGUAGGAAAACGAGCAGAUAGAGCGUGGAGGGGGAAAAGAAACCCAUCAGGCAACCCAACUCACAGCACUGCUUUCUAGGUUUUUGAGAGGCUGUUGGGAAAGAGAGAAAUGUGGGGAAAAUAUGGUUUUCGUUAAAAGAAAAAAACAAGAAAAAACAAAAAAAAACCCCGCCAAGCAGUUUUGCUGGGUUGGAAAGAGGGCAGAGAGGCAGCUGUUCCCCCCUCGCCCUUCAUCCCCCCAGAGCCAGGCCCACAGGACUCCCUCCUGCUCUUAUUGUUUUUAAGGGCAAAACAAGCAAAUCUGGCUGGCACAAAGUGAGAGCUUUGCCUGGCAUGGGCUGAAGUCGCCUCUCUUGGGGCUUGGGCAGGCAAAACUUUGAGCUGGGG
rnacentral:lncRNA from 1 species